UGGAUAGCUCGUUUGGUAGAGCAUGAGACUUUUAAUCUCAGGAUCUUGGAUUUGAGCCCCACGUGGGGCAA